rnacentral:rRNA from 1 species
UACGUAGGGGGCAAGCGUUGUCCGGAUUUACUGGGCGUAAAGAGCGCGCAGGCGGUCGGAUAAGUCGAAUGUGAAAGCCCCCGGCUCAACUGGGGAGGGUCAUUCGAUACUGUUCGACUCGAAGGCAGGAGAGGGAAGUGGAAUUCCCGGUGUAGUGGUGAAAUGCGUAGAUAUCGGGAGGAACACCAGUGGCGAAGGCGACUACCUGGCCUGUUCUUGACGCUGAGGCGCGAAAGCUAGGGGAGCAAACGGG